CACCCCUCUCUCUCUCUCUGUCUUUCUCUCUCUCUCUCUCCAUACUCGCCCUUCCAAUCAAUCUACAGGAUCUACUUUCGUCUAAAGCCUUCACUCUCCGGACCUUCGAAAAUCCUAGUUACCUUGAUUUGUCCGCGCCGCGCUCAUCUGGCCUAGGGUUUACCACCUCCAACCGAUUUGCAGAUUACAGAUCCAUUUUUGUUGAUGUUUGGUGGAUGUUAAGGGCUUAAGUCUGAGCCAGCAUGGGUUUUGAUAACGAGUGCAUAGUUAAUAUUCAGUCUCUUGCUGGGGAGUACUUUUGCCCUGUUUGUCGUCUACUUGUCUACCCAAACGAAGCACUUCAGUCACAGUGCACCCAUCUAUAUUGCAAACCUUGUUUGACAUAUGUUGUGGGCACUACCCGGGCCUGCCCCUAUGAUGGAUACCUGGUGACGGAAGCAGAUUCAAAGCCUCUCAUAGAGUCAAACAAAUCGCUGGCGGAAACAAUUGGCAAAAUAGCAGUUCAUUGUCUUUUUCACAGGAGUGGAUGCCAAUGGCAGGGUCCUUUAUCUGAGUGCAGUUCCCAUUGUUCUGGGUGUGCCUUUGGAAAUUCCCCAGUCGUAUGCAACAGGUGUGCUAUCCAAAUUGUGCAUCGUCAAGUCCAGGAGCAUGCACAGACCUGUCCUGGUGUGCCUCAAACUCAACAGGCAGAGGGUGUUCAGGAUGCUGCAGCCCCAGCCACAUCAUCUAAUCCUCACCAAACGCAGACUGCUAAUCAACCUGGGGGAUCAAAUUCUCAGGCCCAGGCUUCACAAACCGUGGUUGCCCCUCCAAGUGGACAGAUCCCAAGCGCACAGGCUAUUGCGAGUUCUCAGGCUAUGGCUGUGGCUCCUGCUCCCGUACCAACCCCAGAACAGCUGUACCAGCAACAAUAUCAACAAUACUACCAGCAGUAUCCUGGGUAUGACCCUUAUCAGCAGGCUUAUCAACAUUACUAUCCACAGCAGGCCGUUCAGCAAUAUCAGCAGCACCCCCCACAUGUUCCAGUGCAGCACCAAUCUCAGGUUUAUUCCCAACCUCAAGCUCAAGGCCAUCUUCAGCCUCAGGCCCAAGUUCAGCCCCAGACCCACCCUCCUCCACCAACACAACCGCCUCAGGCACAGCCUCAACCGAUUCAGCAUGUUCAGGCUCCAGUGGCUGUGCAGACUUCUGUCAACCCACAACAUCAACACCAUGCUGCAGUGCAACAUCCAACUCCAAUGCAGUCACAGGCUCAUCCACCACCCCAUGGCCACCCCCAGCUGCAAACCCAACCUCAGCCAUAUCCAAUGCCGCCUCAUUCACAACAACCAAUGCAGAUGCCUCAGUAUCAACAGCCUCAAUCACAGUUUCAACAUCCACAGCCACAAAUUCCGCCACAACCCCCACUUCAGACUCUUCCACAUCCCCAGCCUCAAGCUCACUUGCAAGCCCAGCCACAAGCACCGCUUCCCCAUCCUCAUUCCCAACUCCAGCCGCCACCUGUACCUAAUCUGCCACUGACUCAAUACCCACAGGCACAUGCUGUUACUGGUAAUCAAUCGUAUCCACAACCUCAGGCUCACCAGCAAGUGCAGUUGGGUGCCCAGCACCCCCCUCAUAUGCAUGUCCAGAGUGGACCUAUUUCUCAGCAUCAUGUCCAAAUGCCUGGUCAAUUUCCUCAACAACCUCCUCAAUUGCGUCCGCCUCAAGCUCAUGCUCCAGUGCCAAAUCAGCAACGGCCUGCUUUGUUGCCUCCACAGGGUCAGUUCCCAAAUGUCCCUUCGGUACAACAGCCAAUUCAUCCUCAUGUUCAGCAACCUAACCAUCCGGGCCAACGCUCCGUUGUGCUGCCAAAUCAACAGCCAAUGCCUCAACAUGUUCAACAUCAGCAGGCAUUCCCAGUGCAAACAUCAGCUCCGGUUCAGAGUCAGUUGCAUCCGCAUGGCAAUCUCGUACAGCAGCAGCAGUUUAUGCAGGCACAGUUGCGCCCUCAAGGCCCACCUCACUCGAUGCAGCAGAAUUCUGUUGCCUAUAUGUCAUCGCAGCAGAAUGUUGCACCGUCACAUGGCUUGCCACCUCAACAGUCUCAGAAUUAUGCUGCACGACCAGCGAUGCCAAAUGGUACACAAGCACAGCUCUUUCCUCAGAAUCCAGGAUUUGCUGGUGCAGCUCAAGUCAGGCCAAUGCACUUUAGUGGAAACCAGAGUAUGACAAAUCAAAAUUAUGGGCCGAGGACUAACAACCAAAUGCACAUGGUUUCUGAACAACACGUCCAAUCUGGUCUGAUGACCUCAAAACCAACUGGCGCUGAGAGACAAGGUGAUCAUAUGCCUGUUAAAAGUUUAGCUGAUCAAAACAAUGGAUCACCCUCUCACAGAACUGCUCAAAACGAACCAAAUGGUUCGGUUCCAGGAUCUAAUCUUGGAGCUCUUUCAGUUGAAGUUAAUAAUCACCAAUCAGAGACUGAUGUACAGAAACCUAUAAGUGGAGAUGAAGAUAAUAAAAUCCAUUCUGAUGUACAUGGUAAGGAUUCAGGCUCAGAUUUGCAUGCAGCAGGGAAUGGUUCUUCAGAGCCAGCAAACAAGCAUUUGGUUAAGACAGAGGGUGGUAAGAGUAGGCUGGAGUCUUCGCCUGGUAUCAAAUCUGUUGAAAUUGGAGCUGCUGAACUCAAAGAUGCUACUGAUGCUCCUCAGCGAGGGGAGCAUUCCACAGGUGAUGAUACUUCAUUGCUACCACCAGAAGCUUCAAAAGACCAGACUGCGAAGUUGCAAAAAGAUGCAGUUGAUGCAGGCAUGCUGGAAGCUGGUGGGGCUGCUGGUGGAGAUCGUUUGCGGCAUGGUUCUCAGGAGAGAAAUUUGAGUCAAUCCCAUGGACCAGUGCCUGGAAAGGGCUUUAUGCCUCCUCCGCAUCCUUUUCCACCGACAGAUCAAGGCAGGCAUCAACAUAUGGCAAUGCAUUAUGGACCUUCCAAUCAUCAACAGGCAGCAGUUUUGCCGGGCCCCCCAUAUCGUGCAGAAGUGCCAGGGCAACCCCCAAACUUUUUAAGGCCUCAAGGACCUGGUCAUUUACCUAUGCCAGGGGGGAUCCCAGGUCCAAGCUCAGCAGGGUUUGGGCAGGUACCUGGUCAUUUUGGUCCUCCGGAUAGACCUUUUGAACCACAUUAUAACCAGAGUCAUGUGCCUCCGCCACAUGCUGGUCUCCCCAGGAUGUCUCAAGGUGAACCUCCUAGCUCAUUCAACAUGGGAAGGGCACCACCACAUGGUACUGAAGGGCAGCUUAGUCAGCAGCCUCCUAUUAAUACAAUUGGAAGUGAUAAUUUUUCAAAGCAGAGGCCCCAUUAUUUGGAUGGCGGACAACCUGAUUCCCAGUUGAUUGGCUCUUCUGAUCGUGCUCCAUUUGGACAAUCUCAUGGUAUAGACUCAAAUGCAGUGAGAAUGAAAGAGGGAGCUGGAAUUGAUUCCUCCGCUCCGGUUGGUUUCCGUGGUGAAAGAUUCAAGCGUUCAACAGAAGAGGGUUUGAGUCGAUUCCCAACAGAACCAGCUUGGCGCAACGACCGAGGUGAAUUUGCAGAAGAUCUGAAACAGUUUCCUAGGCACCCCCAUUUCGAUACCGAGCCCCCAUCAAAGUUCGGUAAUUACCAUUCCUCAUCGAGGUUUAAUGAUAGGGAUCCUCUUGUCAAGGCACCUCAUGGAGGAAACUACGAUGCUGGAUUACAGUUAGAUCCAGGUGCUGGUGGUCCUAGGUUCUUGCCUCUCUUUCGUCCUGGUGGUCCAAAUGAUGCUAGACCAGUUGGUCCUGAUGGUAAUAUUGGAAGGGCUGAUUCUGCUCACCCUGAUUUUCUAGGACCAGUUCCUGGAUUUGGUCGGCAUCAUAUGGACCGUCAGCCUCCUAGAAGCCCAGGUAGGGAAUAUCCUGGCUUUCCACCUCGUGAUUUUGGAGGUCUUUCCGGUUUCUCUCGUAACCAGUCAGGCAUGGAUGAUAUUGAUGGCCCACGUCCGUUUGGUGGGGGACCGAGAACCUUCAACUUUCCUCCAGAUCCCGCCGGCAACUCAUUUCAUGAAAACAGGUUUCCUCUUUUGCCUGGCCACUUGCGAAGAGGUGAAUUUGAUGGGCCAGAUAUUCUACCUAGCCAUUUAAGGAGGGGCGAGUUUUUGGGCCCUCGGAACUUACCUGGGAAUUCGCGUUUUGGUGAGCCUACUGGUUUUGGUGGUUUUACUGGUCAUUCACGUAUGGGGGAGCUGGAUGGUCCUGGAAACUUUCUGCGUCAUCAACCUUUUGGAGAACCAUUUGGAAGCAAUAAUUCAGGUCAUCCACGUCUUGGUGAGCCUGGAUUUAGGAGCAGUUACUCCGCCACUGGUGGCAUGGAUCCUUUUGAACACUCAAGGAAGCGCAAGUCUUCAACCAUGGGGUGGUGCCGCAUUUGUAAAGUUGAUUGUGAAACUGUGGAAGGGUUAGAUCUGCAUUCACAAACAAGGGACCACCAAAAGAUGGCUAUGGAUAUGGUUCUAACAAUAAAGCAACAGAACAAGAAGAGGCAGAAAACAUCCCAUGACAAAUCUCCUGCUGAGGAGCCAAGCAAGUUGAGAGGUUCUGGUACUGAGGCCCGUGGCAAUAAGCCUUGAGUCAUCUUUGUUUGCUGCAAGCUGGACUGAAGAAUUCUGUAUAUUGCCUUGGCCAAGUCGUUUCUCGGUAUUUUGCAUUUAGCAAUAUAGGUGAUUCACCCUUCUCUGUCUCUCUUCAUCAGUCAGGGCGUUUUAUGCUAGUCUUGUCCUUUCAGGUUGCUGUUCUUUUAGUGGAGAUGGUAUUUUGGAACUGAAGUUUCAGUCGCAGUCAAGAAGAGAAGUUUAAGGUUCAUUGACCAGUUGAGUAUUGCGCAAUGAGAAUUUGGCCUUUUGUCACUCAUAGAGAGAGGAGAAAGGAUGGCCUGCUUCUUUUGCUUGAUGUUUUGUAUUCAGAAGAACAAGUGUACACAUGAGAGCAUCAGACUGACUUCAUGGGAAUGAUCUAGAGGGCCCCAUAACUUGUCUUACGAACAUUUGAAACUGUUCCUUGCGAAAACAACAAUGAGCAUCUUUACAACUCAACGUGUCUUUUAUCGGAGAAGCAGAGGACUAAAGGCUAAAAGUUCAGCAGAAAGGUUUACUCUCGAAUAUUUUAUAUGGUAAGAUAAGUUCAAUGUUUCAAUUCUUAACAAAAAAAAUUCGUUGUAGUUUUGUUAUGAGAUUUUUUUGGUUACAUUUAUUGCUAAGUAUUCUGGUGUAGAAUUUUUUGGGUUAAUUUUUGUUGUCCUAGGAAUUAGAAGCACGAGUUAUCGUUUAUUAUGUGUCCAUUUGUUUGGUUGUACGGCUCGACAUUGGCAUGUCUGCCUGCCACCUCAUGUAUUUGGGACUAAUGGGUUCUUUGCCCUUUACUUCAUCAACCUAGGCCGAGGUUGAACACCAUCAGUCUUUUAACAAUUCCAUGGGUAUUUCCCUAAAAUGCAUAAUUGGUCCAAUGAUAAGUUCUAUUUGAUGAUUAAAUUUGCUUAGGGUGCAUUUUGAAGUAGACUAAAAGGUACGUGCUGGGAAGAAGGUAUUCUUUUAGAGAUCCAUAUCCAUCUCCUUGAAGUUGGAGUAGGCUGGUGUGGUGCUGCACUAUGCCAAGUUAAGGGGAAUUUUGCUUGUGGAUAUGGACCCAGUUAUAACGUUGACAACCAAGUAAAGUAUGUGAUGCUGCCUUUUAGAGAUUCUAAAGUGAAAUCCUCAUGUGUGGUAUGAGCUGAUAGAUUUUCUGACAUCAUAAGAGUUAAGUGGAUAUUGAUAUAGAAAUGCAGAUUGUCAGGUAGUCUUUUCAAAGUUGCCCCUUCUUCUCCAAAACAAUUUGAACAAACCCCUUCUACCUCCCUCACGGAUGUGUCAUUUCCCUUUUUCUUGUCCUUGAUUAAUGAUGGUCGAACUUUGUCUUAUUUUUUCCCCUCUACCCUGAAAAAAUUGACUUCUGUAGAAAACUGCCUAAAAAGUCACUUUAAAGUUUUACCACUGUUAGCUUAACCUCUUUACCAACCUUAGAUUUGCUACAUGAGUUAGUCUAGGUUGUUGACUACUCAUUUUGUGGAAGAAUAAGCAUUUGAUAAAAUUGAAGCUAUGUUAAUUAUUGCACAUAAGUUUUAGGCGCUUUCUUUUCCAUGAAAGAACUCUAAAAAGCUUGCAAAGCAUAAAAGUUAAUUCAAAAUUAGAAAACUUGACAAUUUAGCCAAAUGUGAUAGGAUGAUUAUGGGCCAGAAAAAAGAAAAUGAAGUUCUCGAGUUUAGAGUAGUGAUGAAUUGCAUUUUUCAUUUGGACUUUUUUACCUCAACAAUAUCCGUAUGAGUCGUGCACCAAACAUUUGUUGACCCCCUUAGGGCGAAAUAUGCCCUUAGAUAGUCUAGGGUGGCUCUGCAAUAGAUUUCUUGACCUACUGUAGGAAUCACCUAAAUAAGUGUCUUGAGUUAUUCUUCUUGUCUAUUAAUAGAAAUUAUGGAAACAACCCAAGAAUUUAGAAAUUUACAGUUGUAGGAGUCUUUGUGUUUUCUCAACCUUUCUUUACCAUUAAUUUGCUGCCUAAGGUGUAAUGUUACAAGAAAUGUUACAAGCCAAUGACUUUAAUUGCUGAAAACUUUACAGAAUCGAAAACUUUGUAUAUCUUUCCUUUUGUUCAAGGUAUACCGUGUUUCCCAAAGCUUAUUAUCCAAGGACAUAGUGGUUACUGCUUAGUCAUUUGAUUUCUUAUGUACGGUGCUCAUGGAAUUGUGGAAUAUUGUAUGUCAGUUAGACCAUCCUCGCGUUGAUUCCAUUGUCAUACUAGAGCCUGCGUGCAUGGUUUUUUCCACUUUGGGUCUACCGCUAUCCUAACUGGCGCGCCCAUACGCAUCAAAUGUUUGCUGCACAAGAGGGGCCAGAGCUAUAGUUAUAUCAAGGUUCAGAUGUUCUCCCAAGCAUUGGGGGAUGUCAUUUGGAAUCAUGUUGAUGGAUUAUAAAAUUAGUGUUUAAGAGAUUCGAUGCUUAUACACACCUGGAUGGGCCAGACCAGAUGAUCACUCAGCAGAGUUUGUUGCUGGACACUUUACCGGCCUCAGAGUAGAGCAUAAGUGGCACGUGUCUUGGGAUAGUAAAUGAACCUGAGCACAUAGUUGUGCUCCUUUUCUUGCUUAGCGUGCUCUUGGUGGGUAUGGGCAUGCAUAAGGCCAAAUGCCUUAGAACUGGCGGGCCCAUAAUGGACGAUACUGUCCACUUGAGGCGGGAUAUUAGAUAUAUGUAGAACUGUACUGAACAUAAAAUUAUAUUUAGUGAAAGAUAAAUUAUCUCUAAUUCUAGAAGAUAAAAAUAAUAUGUACAAGAUUCAAAUUAUCCAAGGCCUUGCAAUUCUUACUCUUUGGAAUCACGUUGAUGGAUUAUAAGAUUUAGUGUUUAUGAGAUUGGAUGCUAGGACACACCCUGAUGGGCCACACCAGAUGAUUACUCAGCAGACUCGGUUGCUGUGAUACAACUUUCAUCUUCCCUCUAUACUAUUUCGUAACAUCUUCGUUGAGGAUUGUAAUGCUAUAUCUAUUGGAUGAUUUUCUCCUUUAUGGUGUUCUUAAUAUUCAGUAGGUUUGCAUUUGUAUAGAUUUAGUUUGGAUAUUGAAUAAUCUCUCUAGUGGGUAAUGGGUGACUACUCAAAAUACCAUUGCGGAGUAAUGAGUGAGGGGAGAGUAGAUUACGAAAAGGUUUAGAAAUAAAUGAUGAUUUAAUUAUGAGUGGAAGGGUUGAGUAUGAAUCUGGUUUGAGUCUUUGUUACCCAACCGAUUUGCAAAAGUAUAGUUCUAUGGCUGCAAUAGCACAAGUAUCGAUUGUAUUUCCUUUGCAAUGUCACUCUUGAGUGACUUAAUUGUAUCUAGAGGGAUAUGUUGUGCUUCUACAACUCAUCUGCUGCAUUUCGUUUGUCUCGUAACGGUAUGGAAGCUUCGGGGUAGGCUUUACUUUCUUGGAUGGCAAAUCUUGGACUUCAAACACUUCUCCUUCAGUGUGUUUUAACCAGGUUUGCAGUAUUUUCUGUGUUAUGGACGUUGGCUUGCAUCAGUUUUUAACUUCAAUUCUUGUUGUUUUGUCGCAUUCAGUGGAAUUUCUUCUCUAAUUGCUAAGAUGCCUGAUCUUCUCUUUCACUAAUUUGUGGUCUUUAGCUUAGGAGAGCCCUCCUUAUGGAUGGUAUGACUUGAUAACUGAGGAGAUGAUUUUUCUUGUUCAUAUGGGUAGCAUGGUGCUUUAAAAUAUUUGGAAAUUCACCAAUAAAAAAGAUCAUGAUUCCGCCUAUUACUUCGAAGGACCUCUAUUUAGAAAAAGGAUUUAGGGAGACGUGCAUACACACAUCCAUGUCUUUUUUAUUUUUAUUUAAGGAUAGGUACACGUACAUAUAAAAACAGUAGGUUUCAAAGGUUAGAAAGUACGAAUUUCUGCACAUUGGGACUAAUAUUUGGUUUUUGGGUAGUUUUGAAAUAUGCUUGUGAAGGUUAUAGGUGUGUAGGGUAGGAUGGAGAGGGCAGGGGAGGUAGGAGAAGUUUAAAGAAGCAAUGGGAGCUUAUUUAGGUCAAUUUACAUUUAGUUAAAAACCAGAUGGUUGUAAAAUAUCUAGUUUUGAAAAGCCAGGGUGUAAAGGCUCACAGGCUUAUCUAGACGGUGGUAAAGUGGUGUUUGACCUAAUGCUUAUGAUGUUUGUAUUGGUUGUGAAGAGCCAGAUGUCGUCAACUAAUUCAUUGAGUGUGUGUGUGAAUAGUCGACGUCACUACUUAGAACUAGGUUUUCCUGGAUAUCAUGCAACAAGAUGCCCUCGAUAGACAACGGUGACAACAAAUUCAUGUAGCCGACCCCAAUUGAUUGGGACUCAAGGCUUGGCUUCGUUUAGUUUGGCUUGGCUUGGUUAUGGAGGUCACUACUUGUUUCCAAACUUCUACUGUCAUGAUUUUUACCGUUUCCAUCCUUUCCUUUCUCAUCUGGGUGUCUCGAUAUCUAUAUGUGCAAUGUGAUUUGAGUUGUAAGUCGUGUGGGCCUUCUUCCUAAGGAGGUUAGUCUCUCAACUAAGAGAGCUGGAUACAAAUGAACACAUUCUUGCGAACCUACUUAGAUGGUGUGAUCAAGUCAAAUGUGACAAACCAUAGAUGCAGAUGGUCAACAGUUGGGAUAA